AGAGUUUGAUUAUGGCUCAGGAUGAACGCUAGCGACAGGCUAACACAUGCAAGUCGAGGGGCAGCAUAAAAGUAGCAAUACUUGGUGGCGACCGGCGCACGGGUGAGUAACGCGUAUGCAACCUACCUAUCAGAGGGGAAUAACCCGGCGAAAGUCGGACUAAUACCGCAUAAAACAGGGGCACCGCAUGGUGAUAUUUGUUAAAGAAAUUCGCUGAUAGAUGGGCAUGCGUUCCAUUAGGUAGUUGGUGAGGUAACGGCUCACCAAGCCGACGAUGGAUAGGGGAACUGAGAGGUUGGUCCCCCACACUGGUACUGAGACACGGACCAGACUCCUACGGGAGGCAGCAGUGAGGAAUAUUGGUCAAUGGGCGAGAGCCUGAACCAGCCAAGUCGCGUGAAGGAAGAAGGAUCUAUGGUUCGUAAACUUCUUUUGCAGGGGAAUAAAGUGCAGGACGUGUCCUGUUUUGUAUGUACCCUGAGAAUAAGGAUCGGCUAACUCCGUGCCAGCCGCAGC
rnacentral:rRNA from 1 species